CCUACGGGUUGCAGCAGUGGGGAAUAUUGCACAAUGGGCGCAAGCCUGAUGCAGCCAUGCCGCGUGUAUGAAGAAGGCCUUCGGGUUGUAAAGUACUUUCAGCGGGGAGGAAGGCGAUAAGGUUAAUAACCUUGUCGAUUGACGUUUCCCGCAGAAGAAGCACCGGCCAACUCCGUGCCAGCAGCCGCGGUAAUACGGAGGGUGCAAGCGUUAAUCGGAAUUACUGGGCGUAAGGCGCACGCAGGCGGUCUGUCAAGUCGGAUGUGAAAUCCCCGGGCUCAACCUGGGAACUGCAUUCGAAACUGGCAGGCUGGAGUCUUGUAGAGGGGGGGUAGAAUUCCAGGUGUAGCGGUGAAAUGCGUAGAGAUCUGGAGGAAUACCGGUGGCGAAGGCGGCCCCCUGGACAAAGACUGACGCUCAGGUGCGAAAGCGUGGGGAGCAAACAGGAUUAGAUACCCCGGUAGUC
rnacentral:rRNA from 1 species